GCAAAGAGUAAACAUUGUGUUUACAUUUACAAGUUUUUAGUAGAAUGGCACAAAGCUAGAAUUAGCUAAGGUUCUCACACAGGCCAGUGUUAAUAGAUAGGCUCAGAACUGCUUCUCAACUGCUUCAAAAUCCUAACACCAAGGGACCCAUAUCAACCUCUUCAGAUGGAAAUUUUAAGAUAACCAGAUUGCAGGAUGGUAAACCUGCCAACAAGCUUCUAAAGCAUGUUUAGUACCUUUUGUAAUGGUCUGAGAGAACACCCUCCUGGGAGACAGGAGGAAAAAAAGAAGCCACAGUCUAAGCAAUGGUCAGAUAAAGAGGCAGCUGAGCCCCAGAAGAAGUGAAGGCAUGGCAAACUUCUCAGAAGGGACCUUCCAUAGUUUCUUAGAUUGUAAAGGGUGAAUCAGAAUACUGGCAUUUUUCACAGGAAAUGCAGAACAGAAACCUAUUGUUUAGUAAGAUAGCUGGACAUGCUGCCAAAUCACUGCUUUUUAUAUUCAACAAGAAAUCUUAAUAUCCUACAAGGACAAAGUUGCUCUAGCAAACAGGAAAUGGCAUCAGAUAUGCUGACCCAAAUCAAAUCAAAUCAAAUCAACCAUUUAUUGUCAAUGCACUACAUGUGUACAAUGAAAUUGAAAUGAGCCUCCCUUGGUGCAGCCCCCCCCCAAAAAAACAUAAAAUGCAUAUCAAUAACACAAUAAAUGAAAUAGAAUCCCUAAACCCAAAUAAGUAAUAACUAACACACAUCCCCAUAUACCUAUAUGCAUGUAACA